rnacentral:rRNA from 1 species
AUUGAACGCUGGCGGCAUGCUUUACACAUGCAAGUCGAACGGUAACAGGCCGCAAGGUGCUGACGAGUGGCGAACGGGUGAGUAAUGCAUCGGAACGCGCCCAGUCGUGGGGGAUAACGCAGCGAAAGCUGCGCUAAUACCGCAUACGAUCUCUGGAUGAAAGCGGGGGACCGAAAGGCCUCGCGCGAUUGGAGCGGCCGAUGUCAGAUUAGGUAGUUGGUGGGGUAAAGGCCCACCAAGCCAACGAUCUGUAGCUGGUCGGAGAGGACGACCAGCCACACUGGGACUGAGACACGGCCCAGACUCCUACGUGAGGCAGCAGUGGGGAAUUUUGGACAAUGGGCGCAAGCCUGAUCCAGCAAUGCCGCGUGCAGGAAGAAGGCCUUCGGGUUGUAAACUGCUUUUGUACGGAACGAAACGGUCCGGGUUAAUACCCUGGGCUAAUGACGGUACCGUAAGAAUAAGCACCGGCUAACUACGUGCCAGCCGCCGCAGUAAUAC